UACGUAGGCAGCGAGCGUUGUUCGGAGUUACUGGGCGUAAAGGGUGUGUAGGCGGUUGUUUAAGUUUGGUGUGAAAUCUCCCGGCUCAACUGGGAGGGUGCCGCCGAAUACUGAAUGACUUGGAGUGCGGGGAGAGGAGAGUGGAAUUCCUGGUGUAGCGGUGAAAUGCGCAGAUAUCAGGAGGAACACCAAUGGCGAAGGCAGCACGUCUGGGAACGUGACUGACGCUGAGACGCGAAAGCGUGGGGAGCAAACAGG
rnacentral:rRNA from 1 species